CCCUACAGCCAUACCACCCUGAACACGCCCGAUCUUGUCUGAUCUCGGAAACUAAGCAGGGUUGGGCCUGGUUAGUACUUGGAUGGGAGACCACCUGGGAAUACCGGGUGCUGUAGGCU
rnacentral:rRNA from 1 species